CCUACGGGAGGCUGCAGUAAGGAAUAUUGGUCAAUGGACGCAAGUCUGAACCAGCCAUGCCGCGUGAAGGAUGAAGGUCCUCUGGAUUGUAAACUUCUUUUAUGGGGGACGAAAUCUGUUAUUCUUGACAGUCUGACGGUACCCCAGGAAUAAGCACCGGCUAACUCCGUGCCAGCAGCCGCGGUAAUACGGAGGGUGCAAGCGUUAUCCGGAUUCACUGGGUUUAAAGGGAGCGUAGGAGGGCAGGUAAGUCAGUGGUGAAAUCUCCGUGCUUA
rnacentral:rRNA from 1 species